rnacentral:rRNA from 1 species
UACGUAGGUGGCGAGCGUUGUCCGGAAUCAUUGGGCGUAAAGAGCGCGUAGGUGGCUUGUCAGGUCCGGUGUGAAAUCCUGGGGCUUAACCCCAGGCGUGCAUUGGAAACCGGCUUGCUAGAGUCUGGGAGAGGAGAGUGGAAUUCCUGGUGUAGCGGUGAAAUGCGUAGAUAUCAGGAGGAACACCGGUAGCGAAGGCGGCUCUCUGGAACAGUACUGACACUGAGGCGCGAAAGCUAGGGGAGCGAACAGGAUUAGAUACCCUGGUAGUCCUAGCCGUAAACGAUGGACACUAGGUGUCGGGGGUGUCGACUCCCCCGGUGCCGAAGCUAACGCAUUAAGUGUCCCGCCUGGGGAGUACGGCCGCAAGGCUA